rnacentral:rRNA from 1 species
GAUGAACGCUGGCGGCGUGCUUAACACAUGCAAGUCGAGCGAAGCGCUUAAGUUUGAUUCUUCGGAUGAAGACUUUUGUGACUGAGCGGGCGACGGGUGAGUACGCGUGGGUAACCUGCCUCAUACAGGGGGAUAACAGUUAGAAAUGACUGCUAAUACCGCAUAAGACCACAGGAUCGCAUGAUCCGGUGGUAAAAAACUCCGGUGGUAUGAGAUGGACCCGCGUCUGAUUAGCUAGUUGGUGGGGUAACGGCUCACCAAGGCGACGAUCAGUAGCCGACCUGAGAGGGUGACCGGCCACAUUGGGACUGAGACACGGCCCAA